UGAAUGCGGUGAUGAUGACAACUGCCACGGCGGUCACAGUGAAGAAGCAGAGAGACGAUGAUGAUGAUGACGAGAGAGGUGAAGGAAAGAAUGACAAAUCUGACAGCAGGCAUCUAUAGUAGCUGCAGUGCUCUGCUGUCGUCCUCUUCUUGCUGCCACAGUGAUUGUGUACUCAGUCCCAGGCUCAAGGUCGACCAGAGUCGUGGUGGUCACAUCUUUAGGCACCGUCAGCUAGAAAAGGAAGAUGCAGUGACAACCCAUCUUGCCCACUGCAUCAUUCUCAUUCAAUCCUUGACUGCACUGUUUGCCUGAACCCUCAAUGUUUUUGGAGCUCCUUGUCAAAUAGAUUUUUUUCUGGAAAAAGUAAGACAGAAAGAAGUUCAACUGAAGCCACCGUUAAUGGAAACGAUGCUUUCAGCUCUCAGAGACUCAUACUUAUAGUAACAUGAGCACUGUUGUGUGCCGGAAGGUGUUGUCAUAUUAUUUAAAGCUAUUUGAGAAAGAUGUGAUAGCUGUAGUGCAUUUCCAAAGUUCAAAGAGAGUGCACAAAAUAGUGGGGUAGAAAGUGCUUCUUCGUAAAGCAAAUGGAGGCAUAAUUUUGCAAAGUGCAAAAUACCUUCCACCAUUAAAAUGAUUGCGACAGGAGGAAAGAUCUGCUUGAGUCAACGUGAUGGGAAAGAUUAGCAAAGCACCUCAGUGCACCAACAUUUCACACCAAAGGUUAAAUGGGAUCCUUUCUGCCUUUCCGCCAUAACAGCUCAAAACACAAUAAAAAAUUCAAAUAGCUGAUGGAGUAGGUAAAGAGACGGCCAUUAGCAAUUAAUGUUAUGCAUUGUUACAGCUUUAAAAAUGCUGUAAUGGGAACUUUGACCCCAGCUGGUAAUAUAAAACACCUGCUUAA